GUGUGGGGUGAUGAUACAUUGAUUCAGACGCGAAUCGUAGUGGUGACCUGAAUCAGACUACAAUUAUCUGACCACGC
rfam:Selaginella moellendorffii unplaced genomic scaffold SELMOscaffold_6, whole genome shotgun sequence.